UUCAAAUGAAGCACAGAUUAAAUCCUACGAAAGAGACAAGAGGGCAACAUGGCAAAAUAUCGCGUGAACUAACUUGCUCAAAAGCUAAAACUAAUUGCGCGGAAAAAUCCUAUGCAUUUUUCUACCCCGGAAACAUAUAAAACAUGUGGGGUUGCAACACAAAAAAUAUUCCCACACGAGAAUGCGAGAUAUAAACCUAAACACGAAAAAUAAAC
rnacentral:lncRNA from 1 species